GUCCCUUUAGUUACAUAAAAUUGUCCUAAAACACCUCAUUUCUAACCUAAUACACUCUCCUUCCUCUAUAUCAUUAGCCGCCACCAAUCACCCCACCGGUAAUCGCUUCGUCGCCCGUGCCACCCCAAAGCCGACGUUGACCACCGUUGACCACCGACCGGAAAUCGCCUCCACCGUCCGGAGUCAGCCAAAAGACGUGAAACCACCAUGUUUCUUCUCCACUUUUCCUCCUUUACAUCAUCAUAAUAAGAUCGUACUACCAUUUCCGCCCCGCCAUUACCCCAUAGAAAUACCUAUCCAUUCGGCCCUUCUCUGAUUACUUUGACCUUAGUAUCGGCAUACCUCUAUGCAUAUAUCAUUAGAUAGAUAUGAAAAAAAUCUAUUCAAUGAUAUAAGUAUUAGGGUAUUUCGAAGUCAUCAAGACCCGGUCAAAUCGCUGUUGACUAGCCAUAUCUUGCUAAAACACCUUCUAGUGUUUCACUUAGAGGUCAAUAGGUAAUUUUAGUAGGUAAAUAACAUAAUUUAGAGGGAUGUAAAAGAAAAAAAAUAACUGAAAAAGAUUCUCUGCAUUUCUAUAUAACAGGACACUCUUCACACCUAUUAAAACCAUUCAUUCUCACUCUCACUCUCACGCAAGACACACUCAUCUUUUCACAAUCUGAGAUUUCAAAAUACAAAUUCACUCUCAUAUCCACAGAAUACCCAACAGACUCUCACUCAUCUCUAUUCAUUCUCACACAUUCAUCUUCAUUCACUGCACUCACACAACAACAUCUGGAAUUCAAAAACAUGGAGAUCUGAAAAGAAAACCAAAGUUCUGAAGAAAAGCAUGAAAAAACAAUAGAGUUCUAGGUUAGCUUUCACUCAAAACAGUUCAUAAGUUGUAGCUGUUUCGAUUUGUUGUAUUCUCUCUUGCAUUUUUGGGUUUCGAAGUUGAUCUAGCUUUGAUUACUGGUUGUUUGCUGCUGUUCUCUGUCAACUAGUAGCUGAGCUUCAGUUGUAGUUGUUCUCAGCCUUUAUUUGGCUAUUUUAAGACUUGUUUGUUGCUGUGUAGGUAUGUUCAAACACCUCUGUAGCUUUAAAUUGAAAUCAUGAGUGAAAUUAAAGAUGUUUAAUGCCUAAUUCUAUAGAUCUAACAUGUUUAAUGAUUUAAUUUAUUUGAAUCUCUCUCCCUAUCAAUCUCUGAAGUUAUGAACGUGUAAAUUUGCAUUGAUUAGUGUCAAUGGGCCAUGUGUUAGUUGUUUUGAGUUUCUGUUGGUUUGUUAUGAGAUCUGAAUUAUUGUUGCAAUAUGUGUUCGAUUUUCUUCACGACUUUGUUUGUUUGCUAAAUCUGUUUAUCUACACUCCUAUGUUAACAUCAGUUCUCUGUUUGUUUUGUUUAUUUAACUGAAAUUUAGAUUGAAACUACUCACAAAUUUAUUUAGUGACUACUGAUAAUCAUUUAUCCUAUCAAAGCAUGCUAAUGUUAUUUCUGUUGUAGUAUAGAAUAUACAACAUACUGAAACACAGUGGUGAAACAUAAUUGGAGUUGAUGUUUUCGGGUUUAAAUGAAGCUAGAAGGAAGUGUUCAUAUCAUAUCUUCCUGUUCUGAUUAUUUUGCAUUUGCAUCUGGAAAUCUGAAGAAGAAACAUCGAGAAGGUCAUUUGUAUACUAUUUUAAUUCAUUUAGUUUAGAACUUGGAAGCCAUUUUCAUGAGUCUAAGGAUUGAAUCAGAGAGUUCGUAACAAUUUAGUUCAUCGGUUUUGUAAUUAAUCGGUGGGUUAACAAUUGUUACUUUAGUUUUCUCAAAUUGGUUGAAAUUUUUGUAACUGAUUUAUUCCUACCUAUGAUUGUGUAAGUAAUGUUAGAUCGGAUGAAGCUUACGCAAAUGAGCAUAUGCUGAAUUACCCUUUUCUUUUGACGUUUGGGCGUCGCUUGG
rnacentral:lncRNA from 1 species